UACGUAGGGUGCAAGCGUUAAUCGGAAUUACUGGGCGUAAAGCGUGCGCAGGCGGUGAUGUAAGUCAGAUGUGAAAUCCCCGGGCUCAACCUGGGAACUGCAUUUGUGACUGUAUCGCUGGAGUGCGGCAGAGGGGGAUGGAAUUCCGCGUGUAGCAGUGAAAUGCGUAGAUAUGCGGAGGAACACCGAUGGCGAAGGCAAUCCCCUGGGCCUGCACUGACGCUCAUGCACGAAAGCGUGGGGAGCAAACAGG
rnacentral:rRNA from 1 species